CGACAGCGGAGACGGCGGGCGGACGCGGGUCGGGCCCGCGCAGCUUCCUCCGGCGGAGCCGUCCCCGCAGCCCCGGAAGUGCUAUGCGCAGCCGCGUCAUUUCCGGCAGGGGUCGGCCCGCGGUCGUCGGGUUUCUUUAGCAUUGGCUGUCCCGGAACUCUCUGCAAACCAAGCUGGCCUUGAAUUUACAGAGAUCCACCUGUCUCUGCCUCUGUCUCUGCCUCUGCCUCGGCCUCUGGAGUGCUGGGAUUAAAGUGUGUGUCACCACCACUGCCGCCACCAUCACCACCACCUGCAAGACUCACAGUUGUCCUCUUGCUUCUCCCUCCUGAUUGGUGGAAUUAAAGACAUGCACUAACACA